rnacentral:lncRNA from 1 species
AGUAGUAGCGUGGUUUAUACCCCAUACUAGUACUAUCAACUUAGCAGUAAAGCGGGUUAUAUACCCCACGCUACUAGUAUGGCUUGUCCCGGGUGGCACAGUGAAGACCUCUUAGUAGUAGCUUCGAUUUAUACCCCGCGCUACUACAAUCAACUUAGCAGUAACGCAGGUUUUAUACCCCACGCUACUAGUAUGGCUUGUCCCCGAUGGGAGGGGGGCACAGUGAAGACCACUUAACAGUAGCGUGAGUUUAUACCCCGCGCUACUACUAUCAACUUAACAGUACCGCGGGUGUUAUACCC